rnacentral:piRNA from 1 species
AGAUCAAAAUGAAAAAGGAUCAAGG